GGUUAAGCGACUAAGCGUACACGGUGGAUGCCCUGGCAGUCAGAGGCGAUGAAGGACGUGCUAAUCUGCGAUAAGCGUCGGUAAGGUGAUAUGAACCGUUAUAACCGGCGAUUUCCGAAUGGGGAAACCCAGUGUGUUUCGACACACUAUCAUUAACUGAAUCCAUAGGUUAAUGAGGCGAACCGGGGGAACUGAAACAUCUAAGUACCCCGAGGAAAAGAAAUCAACCGAGAUUCCCCCAGUAGCGGCGAGCGAACGGGGAGGAGCCCAGAGCCUGAAUCAGUGUGUGUGUUAGUGGAAGCGUCUGGAAAGGCGCGCGAUACAGGGUGACAGCCCCGUACACAAAAAUGCACAUACUGUGAGCUCGAUGAGUAGGGCGGGACACGUGGUAUCCUGUCUGAAUAUGGGGGGACCAUCCUCCAAGGCUAAAUACUCCUGACUGACCGAUAGUGAACCAGUACCGUGAGGGAAAGGCGAAAAGAACCCCGGCGAGGGGAGUGAAAAAGAACCUGAAACCGUGUACGUACAAGCAGUGGGAGCCUCUUAAUGGGGUGACUGCGUACCUUUUGUAUAAUGGGUCAGCGACUUAUAUUCUGUAGCAAGGUUAACCGAAUAGGGGAGCCGAAGGGAAACCGAGUCUUAACUGGGCGUUAAGUUGCAGGGUAUAGACCCGAAACCCGGUGAUCUAGCCAUGGGCAGGUUGAAGGUUGGGUAACACUAACUGGAGGACCGAACCGACUAAUGUUGAAAAAUUAGCGGAUGACUUGUGGCUGGGGGUGAAAGGCCAAUCAAACCGGGAGAUAGCUGGUUCUCCCCGAAAGCUAUUUAGGUAGCGCCUCGUGAAUUCAUCUCCGGGGGUAGAGCACUGUUUCGGCAAGGGGGUCAUCCCGACUUACCAACCCGAUGCAAACUGCGAAUACCGGAGAAUGUUAUCACGGGAGACACACGGCGGGUGCUAACGUCCGUCGUGAAGAGGGAAACAACCCAGACCGCCAGCUAAGGUCCCAAAGUCAUGGUUAAGUGGGAAACGAUGUGGGAAGGCCCAGACAGCCAGGAUGUUGGCUUAGAAGCAGCCAUCAUUUAAAGAAAGCGUAAUAGCUCACUGGUCGAGUCGGCCUGCGCGGAAGAUGUAACGGGGCUAAACCAUG
rnacentral:rRNA from 1 species